rnacentral:rRNA from 1 species
GUGCCAGCAGCCGCGGUAAUACGUAGGGGGCAAGCGUUGUCCGGAUUUAUUGGGCGUAAAGCGCGCGUAGGCGGUCCGUUAAGUCGGGUGUGAAAACCCGGGGCUCAACCCCGGGCCUGCAUUCGAUACUGGCGGGCUGGAGGCAGGCAGGGGAGAGCGGAAUUCCCGGUGUAGCGGUGAAAUGCGCAGAUAUCGGGAGGAACACCGGUGGCGAAGGCGGCUCUCUGGGCCUGUCCUGACGCUCAGGCGCGAAAGCUGGGGGAGCAAACAGGAUUAGAUACCCUCGUAGUCC